UACGUAGGUGGCAAGCGUUGUCCGGAUUUAUUGGGUUUAAAGGGUGCGUAGGCGGCCCUGUAAGUCAGUGCUGAAAUAUCCCGGCUUAACCGGGAGGGUGGCAUUGAUACUGCGGGGCUAGAGUACAGAUGAGGUAGGCGGAAUUGACGGUGUAGCGGUGAAAUGCUUAGAUAUCGUCAAGAACACCUAUAGCGAAGGCAGCUUACUAGGCUGUAACUGACGCUGAGGCACGAAAGCGUGGGUAGCAAACAGG
rnacentral:rRNA from 1 species